AAAAAAAAAAGACUUACUAACACAGUUAGAUUCGAUAUACCUCUCUACUUCCAAAGACUGAUAGUAUAAGGUUCCUUGAAGGUAAGAUUAGAAAGGAUUUUGCAGCUAUCCAGCAUGGUUCUGCUGCAGAAAGCCAGAAAGUCUUAAAAUCUUGAAAAACUUAUGAUGAAAUCUGGAAAUGGUUAUGAUGGAGAAGACGAAGAAGAAGAUGAGGAAGAAGAGUAUGAUUUUAGUUCUAAUAACAAUACCAAAGAUGGGAAGAACAGUGAUAAGGCAAAUGCUAUUAGGUCGAAGCAUUCAGUAACUGAGCUGCAAGAUCAAUGAGAGGUUGUUUGUUUUGAAUUUCUUAUUCUAGUUAAAAUUUAUUAUUAUUAUUAUUAUUAUUAUUAUUAUUAUUAUAUUGUCUAAUAUUGGCCUGAGAUGAAGCAACGUGGUCUUUGAUCCAACACUUGUUUGCGUAGUUGUAGUAAAAGUUGAUUAAAAAAAUUCCUGUGCUCUUCUUCUCCAUAGUUGUAGUAAAAGUUGAU